rnacentral:rRNA from 1 species
UACGGGGGGGGCAAGCGUUGUUCGGAAUUACUGGGCGUAAAGGGUGCGUAGGCGGUUCGUUAAGUCUGUUGUGAAAUCCCCGGGCUCAACCUGGGAAUGGCAAUGGAUACUGGCGGGCUAGAGUGUGUCAGAGGAUGGUGGAAUUCCCGGUGUAGCGGUGAAAUGCGUAGAGAUCGGGAGGAACAUCAGUGGCGAAGGCGGCCAUCUGGGACAACACUGACGCUGAAGCACGAAAGCGUGGGGAGCAAACAGG